rnacentral:rRNA from 1 species
CCUACGGGUAGCAGCAGUAGGGAAUAUUGCUCAAUGGGGGAAACCCUGAAGCAGCAACACCGCGUGGAUGAUGAAGGCUUUCGGAUUUUAAACUCUUUUUAUAGGAGAAGAUUAUGACUGUAUCUAACGAAUAAGCACCGGCUCACUCCGUGCCAGCAGCCGCGGUAAUACGGAGGGUGCAAGCGUUACUCGGAAUCACUGGGCGUAAAGAGCGCGUAGGCGGGAGUGCAAGUAAGAUGUGAAAUCCUCGGGCUUAACCCUAGUUCUGCAUUUGAUACUGUUUUUCUAGAGUGUGGGAGAGGUAAGGGGAAUGCUUGGUGUAGGGGUGAAAUGCGUAGAGAUCAGGAGGAAUAC